rnacentral:lncRNA from 1 species
AUGUACAAAAGAUUAAUAAUAUUUUUCAAAUUAUACAGGAGAUAUGAUUAUUUUUUAAAAUUUUUAAUAAAAUUUAUUUUUUUUAAUUAAUAAAAUGCCGCUGAGGCCUUCGUGAAGGACCAAAAUUUGGUGGAUGACAACUAAUAAAAGAAUAGACAUUAUUGGAGGACCGAGACUUGGUGGAAUUGUGGGCCCAAUAACCAUGUUUUUCAUAAGGAAAGACAAAGACUUGGUGGAAGUGUGGGCCCAACGGAAGGCAAUAAUUGCUACCAUUUUUUCAUAAAGAAAGACAGAGACUCGGUGGAGGGCUAAAAAGACAGCGUGGAAACAAUUGUUUCUCCGCGUGACGAAGCGCGUCUGUCCUUCUUUGUUUUUUUUUUUAGGAUGUGUUUGGAUAAAAAAAUCAGUAAAUUAAAUAAAAAUUAUAUAAAAAAUUUUAUUAAAGGCAAAUUUAAUUCAACUUGUAGUGUAAUUUAUUCAAAAUCGAAUCUAAAUAUGUAAUGCUUGAAACACG